CCUACGGGAGGCAGCAGUGGGGAAUAUUGCACAAUGGGCGCAAGCCUGAUGCAGCCAUGCCGCGUGUGUGAAGAAGGCCUUCGGGUUGUAAAGCACUUUCAGCGGGGAGGAAGGCGGUGAGGUUAAUAACCUCAUCGAUUGACGUUACCCGCAGAAGAAGCACCGGCUAACUCCGUGCCAGCAGCCGCGGUAAUACGGAGGGUGCAAGCGUUAAUCGGAAUUACUGGGCGUAAAGCGCACGCAGGCGGUCUGUCAAGUCGGAUGUGAAAUCCCCGGGCUCAACCUGGGAACUGCAUUCGAAACUGGCAGGCUAGAGUCUUGUAGAGGGGGGUAGAAUUCCAGGUGUAGCGGUGAAAUGCGUAGAGAUCUGGAGGAAUACCGGUGGCGAAGGCGGCCCCCUGGACAAAGACUGACGCUCAGGUGCGAAAGCGUGGGGAGCAAACAGGGUUAGAUACCCGUGUAGUC
rnacentral:rRNA from 1 species